rnacentral:rRNA from 1 species
CCCGCGCCCGCCGAAGACAUCUCGAACUCUGUCUGAAGAUUGUAGUCUGAGUAAAAAUAUAAAUUAUUUAAAACUUUCAACAACGGAUCUCUUGGUUCCGGCAUCGAUGAAGAACGCAGCGAAAUGCGAUACGUAAUGUGAAUUGCAGAAUUCAGUGAAUCAUCGAGUCUUUGAACGCACAUUGCGCCCUCUGGUAUUCCGGAGGGCAUGCCUGUCCGAGCGUCAUUGCUGCCCUCAAGCACGGCUUGUGUGUUGGGCCCCGUCCUCCGAUCCCGGGGGACGGGCCCGAAAGGCAGCGGCGGCACCGCGUCCGGUCCUCGAGCGUAUGGGGCUUUGUCACCCGCUCUGUAGGCCCGGCCGGCGCUUGCCGAUCAACCAAAUUUUUAUCCAGGUUGACCUCGGAUCAGGUAGGGAUACCCGCUGAACUUAAGCA